AGUAAUAUAACAAACAACACGAGAUAUCAUGUGCUGUGAGAUGUUGU
rnacentral:guide_RNA from 1 species